rnacentral:rRNA from 1 species
UACGAAGGUGGCAAGCGUUGUUCGGAUUUACUGGGCGUACAGGGAGCGUAGGCGGUUGGAUAAGCCCUCCGUGAAAUCUCCAGGCUUAACCUGGAAAGUGCAGAGGGGACUGUUCAGCUAGAGGAUGGGAGAGGAGCGCGGAAUUCCCGGUGUAGUGGUGAAAUGCGUAGAUAUCAGGAGGAACACCAACGGCGAAGGCAGCUCUCUGGGACGUUACUGACGCUGAGACGCGAAAGCGUGGGGAGCAAACAGG